rnacentral:rRNA from 1 species
UACGAAGGGGGCUAGCGUUGCUCGGAAUUACUGGGCGUAAAGCGCACGUAGGCGGCUUCUUAAGUCGGUGGUGAAAUCCUGGAGCUCAACUCCAGAACUGCCUUCGAUACUGGGAAGCUCGAGUCCGGGAGAGGUGAGUGGAACUGCGAGUGUAGAGGUGAAAUUCGUAGAUAUUCGCAAGAACACCAGUGGCGAAGGCGGCUCACUGGCCCGGUACUGACGCUGAGGAGCGAAAGCGUGGGGAGCAAACAGG